rnacentral:rRNA from 1 species
UACGAAGGGGGCUAGCGUUGCUCGGAAUCACUGGGCGUAAAGAGCGUGUAGGCGGCUUGGUAGGUCCGCUGUGAAAACUCGAGGCUCAACCUCGAGAUGUCGGCGGAAACCACUUGGCUAGAGUCCGGAAGAGGAGAGUGGAAUUCCUGGUGUAGCGGUGAAAUGCGCAGAUAUCAGGAAGAACACCUAUGGCGAAGGCAGCUCUCUGGGACGGUACUGACGCUGAGACGCGAAAGCGUGGGGAGCGAACAGG